CCUACGGGUGGCUGCAGUGGGGAAUAUUGGACAAUGGGCGCAAGCCUGAUCCAGCCAUGCCGCGUGAGUGAUGAAGGCCCUAGGGUUGUAAAGCUCUUUUGUGCGGGAAGAUAAUGACGGUACCGCAAGAAUAAGCCCCGGCUAACUUCGUGCCAGAAGCCGCGGUAAUACGAAGGGGGCUAGCGUUGCUCGGAAUCACUGGGCGUAAAGGGUGCGUAGGCGGGUCUUUAAGUCAGAGGUGAAAUCCUGGAGCUCAACUCCAGAACUGCCUUUGAUACUGAGGAUCUUGAGUUCGGGAGAGGUGAGUGGAACUGCGAGUGUAGAGGUGAAAUUCGUAGAUAUUCGCAAGAACACCAGUGGCGAAGGCGGCUCACUGGCCCGAUACUGACGCUGAGGCACGAAAGCGUGGGGAGCAAACAGGAUUAGAUACCCCUGUAGUC
rnacentral:rRNA from 1 species